rnacentral:tRNA from 1 species
UAUGAAGUAAGCUAAUAAUAAAGCUACUAGGUUCAUACCCUAUUCAUGAAAAAAGAUAUUUCCUUUAUAA